rnacentral:rRNA from 1 species
UUCCUACGGGAGGCAGCAGUGGGGAAUAUUGGACAAUGGGGGCAACCCUGAUCCAGCCAUGCCGCGUGUGUGAAGAAGGCCUUUUGGUUGUAAAGCACUUUAAGCAGGGAGGAGAGGCUAAUGGUUAAUACCCAUUAGAUUAGACGUUACCUGCAGAAUAAGCACCGGCUAACUCUGUGCCAGCAGCCGCGGUAAUACAGAGGGUGCGAGCGUUAAUCGGAAUUACUGGGCGUAAAGCGAGUGUAGGUGGCUCAUUAAGUCACAUGUGAAAUCCACGGGCUUAACCUGGGAACUGCAUGUGAUACUGGUGGUGCUAGAAUAUGUGAGAGGGAAGUAGAAUUCCAGGUGUAGCGGUGAAAUGCGUAGAGAUCUGGAGGAAUACCGAUGGCGAAGGCAGCUUCCUGGCAUAAUAUUGACACUGAGAUUCGAAAGCGUGGGUAGCAAACAGGAUUAGAUACCCUGGUAGUCCACGCCGUAAACGAUGUCUACUAGCCGUUGGGGUCCUUGAGACUUUAGUGGCGCAGUUAACGCGAUAAGUAGACCGCCUGGGGAGUACGGCC